CAAGAAGGCCACUGCCUUCCUCCUGUGCCAGAGAUGAUUCUGUCUCAUCCAACCAAUGGACUCCAGCUCCCCAGAAAGCCUUUCUCCAUCAUCCCAGCUCCCCAGGAUCUUAGCUGCUUCACUGGUAACACCCAGAAUCCUCAGCACAACUGCUUCAACCAGGCAGAAGACUUGCCCCCAAAUUAUUCAAAGACUCCAGGGACCUCCUUGGUCUAAAGGGAAGUCCAUUUUGCUUCCUCACACCUGAAGGAGAGCCAGGUUUCCGUGAGCCUGUGCUGCUGUUUCUCCAAGCUGUCACAAGAUGUCACUGUUGCAGCUUGGUGUCUCAAGGAAGGACGCUGCUGCCCCAGAGGCUGGGAUGCCCCUGGUGGUCGAGGUUCAGGCUUACGCCUCCUUUUAGUCCUCAUUUCACAUUCGGCCCUUCUUUCCAAAGCGUGGCUCCUGGGGCAGACUGGCUGGGUUUGAACAGGUGUCCAGCAUCAGCCACAUUCCAUGCUGGCCAGAACAGUGUUAUCAGCUGAAAUCUCCCUUAAUUCAAGGUGAUUUAUAUUGGGGGCCUCACUGCUUGCCCCUGCCACUACUUCUUAGAUUGCUCUAGAGCUCCUGGACAGGCACCCCAACUGCAUCUCUGAGACUGCGGACUGGGAUAUGGGUGUCUGCUUUCAGAGAGCCCUGGGACUCCACUUCCUCUAGUGCAGCACGCAAAGGGGGCCGGCCAGCUUCUCUAAGCCCCACAGGUAAAAAUUCUGGGUCAGCCCAAACCCCAAGAGGAAAAGGACAGGACCCUGGUGGUCCACAUCUGCAUAACAAAGAGGGCACACAAAUGAUCCUUCGCCAGAGGAAGAACACCUGUGCCCAGGUUCCUUAAGUCUCUGCCUAAACCAGAAGUCCUCAACCUGGGGAUCAGGAGUGGAAUUCAGGGGUAUCAUGAACUUGUUGGGGGGAAAUAUUACAUGCCAUUUUCACUAAUCAAUAACUGAAAGUAACAUUUUAUUCCAUGAUGCAUGUAGACAUCACAAGACGGUGGGAUAGAUGGUUUGGUUUCUGGGACUUGUCACCAACAGAUAUCACAGAUGCUCUCAUAUCCCAUGACAGUUGCUGCAGAUAAUUCAAAAUAAAUUUACAGCUCAUCAUGAAUUCA
rnacentral:lncRNA from 13 species